rnacentral:piRNA from 1 species
UUAACGAUAUUCUGUCACUUU